UGGCGCCUGCUAGCGUCCGCGUGGAGAGUGUUCGGUCCAGCCGCCGCCCGGAAGUGGAAGUGUGUGUUGAAUUACAGGCCUGCCCCCUCGGACCAUGGAUUUCAUAGAAGCAGCAACAAAUGAGAGUUCCUGCUAUUCCACAUCUUCACCAGUAUUUGCUGUUGUCAGUGUUCUAGAUUUUGGUCAUUCUAAUAGAUUCUGCUCUGUAUGACAUGUGGAAAAAUGGAGAAAAUAUAGAAGAGUCAGUAGUAAAGGCUUUCAGGG